CUCCUCCUUCUGGUCACGGACUCUUCUGGUUAGGUCGGCUAGCUCCGAAAAAUCCAUCAUCUUCAUCUGCCAUUCUUCUAUUGUUGGUAAUUCUUGGGUUUUCCACUUUUUAGCUAACAGAAUACGAGCAGCAGUUGUGGCAUACAAAAAUAAUUUAACAUCUUUCUUGGGCAAUUCCAAACCUGUUAUUCCAAGAAGAAAGGCCUCUGGUUUCUUUAUAAAUGUAUAGUGGCCGAGGAAACCAGGCCAG